CACGUGAGAAACCUGCCCUGGACUUUGGGAUAACCCUCGGAAACGGGGCGUAAUACCGAAUAUGACCUGGCACCGCAUGGUGUUUGGUUGGAAAGUUUUUACCGGUCUGGGAGUGGUCUCGCGGCCUAUCAGCUUGUUGGUGGGGUAAGUGGCCUACCAAGGCGACGACGGGUAGCCGGCCUGAGAGAGCGACCGGCCACACUGGGACUGAGACACGGCCCAGACUCCUACGGGAGGCAGCAGUGGGGAAUAUUGCACAAUGGGCGGAAGCCUGAUGCAGCGACGCCGCGUGAGGGAUGA
rnacentral:rRNA from 1 species